AUUGAACGCUGGCGGCAGGCCUAACACAUGCAAGUCGAGCGGAGCGGCGGACGGGUGAGUAAUGCCUAGGAAUCUGCCUGUUAGUGGGGGAUAACAUCCGGAAAGGGGCGCUAAUACCGCAUACUAUCAGAUGAGCCUAGGUCGGAUUAGCUAGUUGGUGGGGUAAAGGCCUACCAAGGCGACGAUCCGUAGCGGGUCUGAGAGGAUGUUCCGCCACCCUGGACCGGUGACAGGGUCCAGACUCUUACGGGAGGCAGCAGGGGGGAAUUUUGGAAAAUGGGCGAAAGCCUGAUCCAGCAAGCCGCGGGUGUGAGGAAGCCUUUCGGAUUUUAAAGCACUUUAAGUUGGGAGGCGUUACUCGCAGAAUAAGCACCGGCUAACUCCGUGCCAGCAGCCGCGGUAAUAC
rnacentral:rRNA from 1 species